UAAAAUUUUAAAUCAAUAACAGUAAAAUUACUUUUUAUCCUUCCAAAAAUGAUAAGAAAUUAAUUUAAUAGUAAAAUUACUUUUUGUCCUUCCAAAAAUGAUAAGAAAUUAAUUUACUCCUUUAAAAAUAUAAAUAUAUCGACUAUUAAAAUAGUAAAAUUAUAUUUUUACUAUCAUAAAAAUAUACAAUGAGUUAUUGGUCACCAAUGUACGCUUUUCGCGUAAUCCAAUAGGAAGCAUGAAUGUUAAACAAUUGAAAGCGCUUGAAAGCAACUCAGCCCACAUCACUAGGCUCCCAAUGAUCUAUGCCCAUGUUGACCAGCUGCUAAAGAGUAAAGACCCUCAAGUUGUAUCGCAACCACAAGUAUACCGUGAAAUGCCCUUGAAUCAAUUCAACUCAAACAAAGAGGCCUAAUUGUCCAAAACCCAAAAUUUUGCAUAUCUUUUAGUUCACUAAUCUAUUAAUUUGGUCACUUUGAAUAUUCAGAUAAUUGGUACAUUUGAUUAUCAUACGGCCUCAAGGCAGACCAAAAAGAAGAAAAAUAUAUUGUAACACCUCGAUACCUAAUUCGAUCGUCGGUUCCAAGUAACAAAGUGUCACAUUCAUUAUCCGAACAACUACUAUCAAAAACACUAUAAUUAAAAUCAUUUAAACACCCAAACAAUUCAUAAUACAGUCAUUAUACGUUAAACAAACUUUUUGUAACACCUCUAAUCUGUAUCCGUUGCCAAAACAGGGUUACAGAACAUUAUCAUAAUUUACAGAACAAAUAAACAGAUAUUUCAUAUAAUAUAGCAUUCAUAUCACAUUUUAACUUUUCAUAGCAGUAGUUAACAGCAAUGCUAAAAGAUUAAAAUUCCCAAACCAUAAUUUUUCAAAGCAACAUUUUCCAAAUGCACUUUUUUUCAGACCAAACUUUUUACAACUGCAGCCAUAAUGCUAAGCUAAGCAACAAUAAAGGUUGGACUAAAAUGAUAGAUAUAUUAGGCAAGAUUUGAUUUUGCAAUGACAAAAGCCAAAACUCAAAGAAAUCAACUAGAAUAUUUACAGGUUUUAUUUAAUUCACUUCCUAAUUACUUUUUUUUCUUAUUUUAAUAAAACAACACUUUCAAAUUCACGAACAAGUCGUUAAACAUGCUUAUUUGCAGCUGAAGAACGACCAUGAGAAGCAAAAUAUUCUUUUGGAAGCCUAUCAAGCUUGAACCUUUCAAAAAAGAACAAAAACCAACAGUUUCCUAUAUUUUCUUUCACUUUCUCAGCAACCAAAUAGAAAACUACUAUGUUAAAUUAAAAACCAAGAGAAAAAGCAAUUACAAAACAGAUCACAAGCAUUAAUAAUUGAAACAAGCACAUUCAUCCACAAAAAUGUCCAGAAAUUAAAAUCUAGGUUACUUACUUCACUACUCUCUCUCUCUCUCAAUUUCUUCAAAAACUUUAAUCUAGGUUUCUUGACGACCAUUUCAAUAUCCUUUGAGUCCUCUCAAACUAACCACACUAACUAGUCAUAAUUGCUGCAACUCAGCUAUGGCCUCUCAAACCCACAUAUCUCUCGAUUUCAAGAUUGGUGUUAUUGGUUAGGGCUCCCAGGUACCAAACCAAACCUCUAGAAUUUUAUUUUUUUAUCAUUUUUUUAUCAACAACGAAAAGAACAAAGAUUAGAGAUUUUUGAAACAGAUCGGUUUCAAUUUCAAGUUUGUUUUCGAUAUUUCUCUUUUCUAAAAAUUUGAGUUUGGGAAUCCCUAAAUCAUUCAGGUUUCUUCCCUAGCUAAAGAAACAGAGGAAAGCAUAAAAUUUCGGGCAUAAAAUCUGUGGAGAAGUAAAGAACAAGAAGAAAAAAAGAGCUUUAUGCUAUACCUUAAGCCAAGACCCAAUGAAGAGGAAUGGUAUAAUCCUGAGAAAGAGAGAAACAGAGGAAAUGAAACAACAGCCUGAGAAAAUGAUAUAUGCGAUGGACUAGAAAAUGAAGAACAGAAGAAGUAAAAGAAAUAAAUAAAGGAAGAAUGAGAGACUUUUACCUAGAUGGAGGGACUGGAAAAUGUCUUACAAAAAUGAAAUUCGUAAGACAAUUUCCCUAAAACGUAAGACAUUUUACCCGUGUCUUGGAAAUCAUUUUC
rnacentral:lncRNA from 1 species